CCCCAUUUUAAAAGUUAAUGAAUUCUUGUCGGAUUCUCUCAAAUUAAAUACUGGAUAACUUACCCGGACCACACCUUUGAUAAAACCAUGACGUUCAGCAAAAUCAAUAGCACGAAGUUUAGCUGCACCUUUCCUGUGUUUGGUGUGGGCACGGAAGACGCUUCCAGCUCCCUUACGUUGGGACCUAAUAACUCGUCCCAUCUUGCGUCUGAAAAAAAUAUAGCAAACCAAGAUACGUGAAAGCAAGGAAA